AAGUUUUAAAAUGGAUGAAAUUUUUAAUUUCCCCACUUGAAUAUUAAUUUUUCUUAUGUUUUGAAUAUUGGUUUGUUUGAAAUUGAACAAACCUACCGACGACACACCAGUAGAAAAGCUUAAGUUCUAUGUCCUUUGUAUUAUUACAAAUAUUCUCUUCAUAUAUAAUUCUAUCCUUUUCCAAUUUUCAAUCACACCCUUCCAC
rnacentral:lncRNA from 1 species